UACGGAGGGGGCAAGCGUUAUCCGGAAUUAUUGGGCGUAAAGCGUCCGCAGGUGGCCCCUCAAGUCUGCUGUCAAAGCCCGGGGCUUAACCCCAGAAAGGCAGUGGAAACUGAAGUUCUAGAGUGCAGUAGGGGUAGAUGGAAUUCCCGGUGUAGCGGUGAAAUGCGUAGAUAUCGGGAAGAACAUAGGUGGCGAAAGCGCUCUGCUGGACUGCAACUGACACUCAUGGACGAAAGCUAGGGGAGCGAAUGGG
rnacentral:rRNA from 1 species